CCUACGGGGGGCAGCAGUGGGGGAUAUUGCACAAUGGGGGAAACCCUGAUGCAGCGACGCCGCGUGGGUGAAGAAGCGCCUCGGCGCGUAAAGCCCUGUCAGCAGGGAAGAACAUGACGGUACCUGAAGAAGAAGCCGCGGCUAACCACGUGCCAGCAGCCGCGGUAAUACGUAGGGGGCAAGCGUUAUCCGGAUUGACUGGGUGUAAUGGGGGCGCAGGCGGGGAUGCAAGCCAGGAGGGAAAGCCCGGGGCCCAACCCCGGGACUGCUGUUGGAACUGCGUGGCUAGAGUGCAGGAGGGGCAGGCGGAAUGCCUGGUGUAGCGGUGAAAUGCGUAGAUAUCAGGAGGAACACCGGUGGCGAAGGCGGCCUGCUGGACUGCAACUGACGUUGAGGCCCGAAAGCGUGGGGAGCAAACAGGAUUAGAUACCCGAGUAGUC
rnacentral:rRNA from 1 species